ACAUGUAUGCUCGUCCUCGCUGUCGCCGCAGGGGAAUCCGGUUCGAAUCCGGAACUGUCCCGCAACGGUAUGACCCGUACCCCUUUGUACGGGCCGAGUCCGAUGACCUGCCGAUGGCGCGUCCGGGUC
rnacentral:ncRNA from 2 species